rnacentral:rRNA from 1 species
GAGCACGUAGGUGGGUUUGUAAGCCAGAUGUGAAAGCCUCCUGUUCAACGGGAGAAUUGCAUCUGAAACUACUGAUCUUGAGUGUAGGAGGGGAGAAUGGAACUUCUGGUGGAGCGGUGAAAUGCGUAGAUAUCAGAAGGAACGCCGGCGGCGAAAGCGAUUCUCUGGCCUAUUACUGACACUCAGUGUGCGAAAGCUAGGGGAGCAAACGGGAUUAGAUACCCCGGUAGUCCUAACCGUAAACGAUGGGCACUAAGUAGAGGGUUAAU